AGAAACCUAUCUACGUGUAGAUAGUUGACGGUACCGUGAGAAUAAGGAUCGGCUAACUUCGUGCCAGCAGCCGCGGUAAUACGAAGGAUCCAAGCGUUGUCCGGAUUUACUGGGUUUAAAGGGUGCGUAGGUGGAUAAUUAAGUCAGUGGUGAAAGCCUGCAGCUUAACUGUAGAAUUGCCAUUGAAACUGAUUGUCUUGAAUAUGGUUGAGGUAACUGGAAUGUUGCAUGUAGCGGUGAAAUGCUUAGAUAUGCAACAGAACACCGAUUGCGAAGGCAGGUUACUAAGCCAUUAUUGACACUGAGGCACGAAAGCGUGGGGAUCAAACAGGAUUAGAUACCCUGGUAGUCCACGCUGUAAACGUUGCAUACUCGGUCUUAGCGAUAAACAGUUAGGACCCAAGCGAAAGCGUUAAGUAUGCCACCUGGGAAGUACGAUCGCAAGAUUGAAACUCAAAGGAAUUGACGG
rnacentral:rRNA from 1 species